UACGAAGGGGGCUAGCGUUGCUCGGAAUCACUGGGCGUAAAGCGCACGUAGGCGGAUUGUUAAGUCAGGGGUGAAAUCCUGGAGCUCAACUCCAGAACUGCCUUUGAUACUGGCGAUCUUGAGUCCGGGAGAGGUGAGUGGAACUGCGAGUGUAGAGGUGAAAUUCGUAGAUAUUCGCAAGAACACCAGUGGCGAAGGCGGCUCACUGGCCCGGUACUGACGCUGAGGUGCGAAAGCGUGGGGAGUAAACAGG
rnacentral:rRNA from 1 species